rnacentral:rRNA from 1 species
AUUGAACGCUGGCGGCAGGCUUAACACAUGCAAGUCGAGCGGGGUGAUGGUGCUUGCACUAUCACUUAGCGGCGGACGAGUGAGUAAUGCUUAGGAAUCUGCCUAUUAGUGGGGGACAACAUCUCGAAAGGGAUGCUAAUACCGCAUACGUCCUACGGGAGAAAGCAGGGGAUCACUUGUGACCUUGCGCUAAUAGAUGAGCCUAAGUCGGAUUAGCUAGUUGGUGGGGUAAAGGCCUACCAAGGUGACGCUCUGUAGCGGGUCUGAGAGGAUGAUCCGCCACACUGGGACUGAGACACGGCCCAGGCUCCUACGGGAGGCAGCAGUGGGGAAUAUUGAACAAUGGGGGGAACCCUGAUCCAGCCAUGCCGCGUGUGUGAAGAAGGCCUUAUGGUUGUAAAGCACUUUAAGCGAGGAGGAGGCUCUUUUGGUUAAUACCCAAGAUGAGUGGACGUUACUCGCAGAAUAAGCACCGGCUAACUCUGUGCCAGCAGCCGCGGUAAUAC